AGCGAACGCUGGCGGCAGGCUUAACACAUGCAAGUCGAACGGGCAUCUUCGGAUGUCAGUGGCAGACGGGUGAGUAACACGUGGGAACGUACCCUUCGGUUCGGAAUAACUCAGGGAAACUUGAGCUAAUACCGGAUACGCCCUUUUGGGGAAGGUUUACUGCCGAAGGAUCGGCCCGCGUCUGAUUAGCUUGUUGGUGGGGUAACGGCCUACCAAGGCGACGAUCAGUAGCUGGUCUGAGAGGAUGAUCAGCCACACUGGGACUGAGACACGGCCCAGACUCCUACGGGAGGCAGCAGUGGGGAAUAUUGGACAAUGGGCGCAAGCCUGAUCCAGCCAUGCCGCGUGAGUGAUGAAGGCCUUAGGGUUGUAAAGCUCUUUUGUCCGGGACGAUAAUGACGGUACCGGAAGAAUAAGCCCCGGCUAACUUCGUG
rnacentral:rRNA from 1 species